GGGGAGUACCGCAUCUUGGGUUGUGACCCCAGCAUCCUGUGCUCCCAGGCUUGUGCUGUUGGCAUCACGCUUCCCACCAUGCAGCUCCCC
rnacentral:pre_miRNA from 1 species